rnacentral:rRNA from 1 species
CAGAGGGGCAAGCGUUAUUCGGAAUUAUGGGCGUAAAGGGCGCGUAGCGGCGAUUCAAGUGGCGGGUGAAAUCCCUCGGCUUAACCGAGGAACUGCCUGCCAGACUGGAUUGCUUGAGUCCGGGAGAGGUGAGUGGAAUUCCCAGUGUAGCGGUGAAAUGCGUAGAUAUUGGGAGGAACACCAGUGGCGAAGGCGGCUCACUGGACCGGAACUGACGCUGAGGCGCGAAAGCGUGGGGAGCAAACAGGAUUAGAUACCCUGGUAGUCCACGCCGUAAACGAUGAGUGCUUGGUGUAGCGGGUAUCGACCCCUGCUGUGCCGAAGUCAGCACAUUAAGCACUCCGCCUGGGGAGUACGGUCGCAAGACUG